GCCUGCCACCAUGUAAGAUGUCCCUUGCUCUUCCACCAUGAUUGUGAGGCCUCUCCAGCCAUGUGAAACUGUGAGUCUGUGUAGGUUUUUUCUGGCUACUCCUGUUUCCUCCCACAUCCCAAAGGUGUGCCUAUGAGGUGAACUGCCAUGUCUACACAUCCCAGUAUGAGUGAGUGCAGGUGGUGUGCACGCGCCCUGCGAUGGGAGUGUGUCCUAUUCAGGGCUGGUUCCCGCCUUGCGCCCUAAGCUUUGGAGAUAGGCUUCGGCCACCCUCAACCCUGAACUGGAAUAAGCAGAAAACCACAUCUGGUCAGGAGCCCAGUGUGUCCCACUUGGACAAGAAUAGAAAUCUCUCUUCUGGAAUAUGAGAAGGGGCCCUGAGUGGGUGUGAGGCCUGGGGGUGCUAUGGCAUCUGCCCGCCUAUGCAGAAGGGUCUGGCACAGAAGAGGCACCACUGAGAGACUCUCUGGGAGUGGAGGCAGAGCCAUCAGAAACCCUGUUCUGAAGGCCUGCAUCUCUACGGUUCCAUCCUCCUUAAAACUGAGGAACAGCCUUCCUUUAUGUCUAAAUGUGUCUCGUUAAAUUCAUUUUCAUUUACUUGAUAGCUUUUAUUGUUAUUAUACAUUGGCAGUUUUUCAUUUAAUUUCUAUCUAUU
rnacentral:lncRNA from 10 species